ensembl:lncRNA
CCUGGGUCUAGUUCUGGUCCUGGGUCUAGCCCCGGUCCUGGGUCUAGUCCCGGUCCUGGUCCUGGGUCUAGUCCCGGUCCUGGUCCUGGGUCUAGCCCCGGUCCUGGGUCUAGUCCCAGUCCUGGGUCCAGCCCCGGUCCUGGCUCUAGCCCCGGUCCUGUUCCUGGGGUUCAGAGCGUCAGCCCCAACGGGAGCCAGUGAGUAGGCGGCCUGCGGUCUCUCCGCGGCGGCUGCUGACUCCAGUGGAAAAUGCGGCUCAUCUUCCACCAUGCAGGCCAUUCAAGAGUUCAACACACUGAAAAGGGUUUCUCCUCUAACUCCUGCUUCAUCUGAAACAGUGGAGCUUGUUGCAUGGCGUAGACAGCAAAGUAGGGCUGCUCGAUUAUGGAAAAAAACAUAAUCAUGAUUAUUUUGGUCAAUAUAGAAAUCCCGAUUGUUCAAACGAUUAUUUUUGAGUUGGAAACAUGAUGUAUUUAUUCAGCUUGUCUCUCCCAAAAGUACUCUGUAACUUAGGACUUUUGCCUUAGAAAAAUAGUCAAAAUGGUCAAAAAGAAAAUGUUCAGACCUUAAAUAUUGUACAGAUAUGUAUCCAGCUGUUUUGUUCUGCACUUUAUUUGAAACAUUUAAGGACAAAAAGAAAAAUUUGAAAACUCGAUCAUAUUAGUUUUGUGAUCGUUUGACGCUGAUAUCGAUAUUGCGAACAAAAUUUGAUGAGUCGCCCAGCCCUACAGCAAAACAAAUUGAUAUAAAUAGAUGAGAGGCUAAUACAGCCUCAUAAACAUGUCUCCCCUCCACCCGCUGGAAGCUGUCUCCAGACCAGUCGCCUUCGUUGAUCACGCUCUCGCUCAUACCUCCUCAGGACCUCAGUGUGAGGAGCUCGUCAUCAUCCUCCUCAUCAUCAUCAUCUUCAUCCUCCCUGAACACCUUUCUUGAGAAUUGCUGUUCAUUUUCUUUUCGUUCUUAAGUAACUCAUGUUCAUGUACUACGGCCUCAUCUGUUUAGAGGCUUGGUGUUGAGAUGGUGCUACAGGCUACAGUGAGGCUUGAUAGAGGCUACAGUGAGACUGGAUAGAGGCUACAGUGAGAAUGAUAGAGGCUACAGUGAGAAUGAUAGAGGCUACAGUGAGACUGGAUAGAGGCUACAGUGAGACUGGAUAGAGGCUACAGUGAGGCUUGAUAGAGGCUACAGUGAGACUGGAUAGAGGCUACAGUGAGAAUGAUAGAGGCUACAGUGAGAAUGAUAGAGGCUACAGUGAGACUGGAUAGAGGCUACAGUGAGAAUGAUAGAGGCUACAGUGAGACUGGAUAGAGGCUACAGUGAGACUGGAUAGAGGCUACAGUGAGGCUUGAUAGAGGCUACAGUGAGACUGGAUAGAGGCUACAGUGAGACUGGAUAGAGGCUACAGUGAGAAUGAUAGAGGCUACAGUAAGACUGGAUAGAGGCUACAGUGAGACUGGAUAGAGGCUACAGUGAGGCUUGAUAUAGGCUACAGUGAGACUAGAUAGAGGCUACAGUGAGACUGGAUAGAGGAUACAGUGAGGCUUGAUAGAGGCUACAGUGAGGCUUGAUAGAGGCUACAGUGAGGCUUGAUAGAGGCUACAGUGAGACUUGAAAGAGGCUACAGUGAGGCUUGAUAGAGGCUACAGUGAGACCGGAUAGAGGCUACAGUGAGGCUUGAUAGAGGCUACAGUAAGGCUACAGUUAGGCUUGAUAGAGGCUACAGUGAGACUGGAUAGAGGCUACAGUGAGGCUUGAUAGAGGCUACAGUGAGGCUACAGUGAGGCUUGAUAGGGGCUACAGUGAGACUUGAAAGAGUCUACAGUGAGACUGGAUAGAGGCUACAGUGAGGCUUGAUAGAGGCUACAGUGAGGAUACAGUGAGGCUUGAUAGAGGCUACAGUGAGAUUUGAUAGAGGCUUGAUUGAGGCUACAGUAAGACUGGAUAGAGGCUACAGUAGGUGCGUUUCCAUCCCCCUAAUUUAAUGUGAACUUUGAAGUAUCGAAUCAGUAAACGGUGAUGGAAACACCAAAAUUCGCAUCAAAAUCCUCUAAUUCGCAAAAAAGUUUAUCCGCUCGCUUGAGGUGGUUUUUGAGAAAUGCGAAACUGAGUAAAUUCGCAAAAUGGGAGAUGGAAACACAUUUUGCGAAUCAGCUGUGACGUAGCGAACUUUGAACACACAGGACUGACAGUCUAUCCGAUUUCUGUAUAACGACCGGCCAUAGCAACCCUGCCGACAUCAACGUGUAACGUCAUCGCCCUAUUCCGCUCCAACCACUUGAUGGAAACGCACCUAAUUCAAAUUACUUUAUUGCGAACUUUCUAAAGAUUCACAUCACCUUUUUAGAUGGAAACGCAGCUAGUGUGGCUUGAUUGAGGUUUCGGUGAGACUGGAUCGAGGCUACAGUGAGGCUUGAUACAGUGAGGCUAUGGUGAGUCUGGUUAGAGGCGGUAGACUGGAGGGCUAGUCAGUGGUCAAGUGAACAGUAGCUAAAACAAUGGUGAGUGGAGCUAGGGUCGCUGGGUGCACCACACCGCAAGCUACAAGGAGUAAACUGUUCUGUCAGAACACACACACACACACACACACACACACACACACACACACACACACACACACACACACACACACACACACACACACACACACACACACACACACACACACACACACACACACCACCACCACCGCAUGGAAUGGUUGUGUGCGGUUGGAGUUGCUGGUAUCUGUGAUUACUGAGUAGCUAUUCUGGUCCGACAAACGGGAUCCAUCUGCCUGUUGCUCCCUUACCGGCGGCCAGACUCAAUAACCGCUCACCAGGGCAUACUGUAGCACCGUACGGCCCCUCAGAUGACAUCAUACUUCUGGUGGGGGCUUACAUCACUUCCUGCUGUUCGUCUGAUGAAGUUCAAAUGGUGCUUUGUUGGUUUUGGAGGGAAAAUCGAUUGUAUUAUUUUCAGGGAAUCUUCCCUUUGAGAUGUUUCAGGGUAAAGGCAGUUAGGUUAUUGGAUAUUGGCAGAUCUUUCACAGUAAAAGUCUCUCAGUAAGACAUGCAGAUAUUUCACAGUAAAAGUCUCUCAGUUAGACAUUGCAGAUAGUUCACAGUAAAACCAUGUCGGUUAGACAUUGGCAAUUGUUGCCCAUCA